GAUGAACGCUGGCGGCGUGCCUAAUACAUGCAAGUCGAGCGAAAAGACGGAAAGCUUGCUCCUCUUCCGUUAUCGAGGGACAGACGAGUAACUAAUAGAUAAACAACCUAUCUGCAUGGUAUGAAUUAGGGAAACAGACGACAAUACAGGCUAAUAUAUUUAACAGCAUGGUUCAGUCGUUAAAGAAAAUUUUGCUGUCUAUUAUAAAUGUAUCCGCGCCGCAUUGGCUAGUUGGUAAGGUACCGGCUUACCAAGGCACCGAUGCGUAGCCGACCUGAUAGGUGGACCGGCAACACUGGAACUGAACAACGUUCCAGACCCCUACGGAAGGAAGCAGUAGGGAUUCUUCCGCAUUGGGCGAAGGCCUGACGGAGCAACGCCGCGUGAGUAAUGAAGGUCUUCGGAUCGUAAAACUCUUUUAUUGGGAAAGAACAAAAGCGUAAGAAAAUAUACACGUCUUGACGGUACCUAAUCAGAAAGCCACGGCUAACUACGUG
rnacentral:rRNA from 1 species